rnacentral:rRNA from 1 species
CAUGCAAGUCGAGCGGCAGCGCGGGGGCAACCCUGGCGGCGAGCGGCGAACGGGUGAGUAAUGCAUCGGAACGUACCCCGUAGUGGGGGAUAACCCGGCGAAAGCCGGACUAAUACCGCAUAUGCUCUACGGAGGAAAGGGGGGACCCGCAAGGGCCUCCUGCUAUGGGAGCGGCCGAUGUCCGGUUAGCUUGUUGGCGGGGUAAAGGCCCACCAAGGCGACGAUCGGUAGCUGGUCUGAGAGGAUGAUCAGCCACACUGGGACUGAGACACGGCCCAGACUCCUACGGGGGGCAGCAGUGGGGAAUUUUGGACAAUGGGGGCAACCCUGAUCCAGCCAUGCCGCGUGCGGGAAGAAGGCCUUCGGGUUGUAAACCGCUUUUGUCCGGGAAGAAAAGGCAUCCCCUAAUACGGGGUGCUCUUGACGGUACUGGAAGAAUAAGCACCGGCUAACUACGUGCCAGCAGCCGCGGUAAUACGUAGGGUGCGAGCGUUAAUCGGAAUUACUGGGCGUAAAGCGUGCGCAGGCGGUUCGUCAAGUCUGAUGUGAAAGCCCCGGGCUCAACCUGGGAAUGGCAUUGGAUACUAGCGAGCUUGAGUGUGGCAGAGGGGGGUGGAAUUCCACGUGUAGCAGUGAAAUGCGUAGAGAUGUGGAGGAACACCGAUGGCGAAGGCAGCCCCCUGGGC